GGCUUUUCCAUAACUUGUCUUGUAAACCUAAAAGGGAACUUGAUUAAACUUUGUUUUUUUCCGAUGAUGGAGAAAUUCUUACCUGUUGGACGAUUUGAUGAUUUUCGCUGCAGUGGUGACUCAAUUCUCCUCCUUUCUGGCCCUCCCUCAUCAGGGAAGACCUCUUUAGUUUUCCAAUUCGCAAUUAACUCUGCAACUGCUACCGCCGGUAAUGUUGUCUUCAUUUGCAACCGUCGGAAGUUGGAGAGUAAACCCCCUUAUUUAGCUCAGGGAAUUGAUGCGUCUUCUGAUGUUAUUAACCGUAUUCAGAUGAAGUAUGUAGACGACGAAGAAGGAAUUAAGAAAUACUUUGCUGCAUUCCAUAUGCAUGAUCCUGCUCCAGUUUCAGUAAUUAUUGAUGAUUUUGCUGAUUUUUUUGAUCAAGGAAACUGUCAAGAGAGAUACAAUAAUACUCGAGGAAGGGAUUUGGCGAUGGUUCUGGUAUUGGCCUUAUGUCGUAAUGCUAUUUUAUGUGCUAAUGAAAAGGGGUCAUGUCAGCUUCUACUUUCCGAUACUCAUAAUGGUGACUCCCCAAGGUUGUUAUACCUUUAUAAGAGAUGGGUCUCCUCUAUCUACAUAAUCAAAGAGGAUGGCUUCGGAUCAUAUCUUAUUAGGAGUUUGGGUGUUGCUAAAUAUGCGACAACUAAACUUGCAAAAUACUCCAUAGCUCUUCAGUAUUUGGUUUAUGAAGGUAUUACAAAAGAUGGAGAGCAGUCAGAUGAAUGAGUGUUUCUCUCAUAGAGGGAUUCGUGUCAGCCAAAUAUAUUUUGACAAGUUCACUGAAAUUUGGUGAAUGUCUAGAGGAUUUGAGCAAUUUUGGAGGGGGGAUUAACACUCAUGUUGAAAUUCUGUAACUUGCUUUGGCUGGAAAGAUACCGAACACAAGUAGCACAUAAUAUUGCUGGAAUAAGAAACCCGAAGUAGAUGAAGAGCUGCCCUAUGAAGUGAUGGAACUAUUAGCCAGCUCUUUGAGCUUCAUAUGUUACUGUAGCUACUCUGUUAUGUGAACACGGGGAAGUUCUUUGGGUAGAAAUGGAGCUUGGGUGGUUUGAGCAAGGGUCUUGAAUGGUAUUAUUAGCAAGAAUACACUCACUGUAAAUCCGGUAGUAGAUUAUGAGGAGCCACAAUCUAAAGGGAACCAGGGUCAUUGCUCCUGAGUCCUAGCCAAGAAACAGAUAUUGGAGGAAUAAGAGAAAAAAUAUGUCCAAUACUUUUUUGUUAGUCUUUACAUAUCCAAAAUUCUACUACGACUAGAAAUGAAUAUUUUUCUUUCUAUCGAAAUAAAGAAUUGUUGAAAAGGAAGAAGUUGAUUAAAAA